GACGAACGCUGGCGGCGUGCCUAAUACAUGCAAGUAGAGCGCUGAAGCUUGGUGCUUGCACCGAGCGGAUGAGUUGCGAACGGGUGAGUAACGCGUAGGUAACCUGCCUGGUAGCGGGGGAUAACUAUUGGAAACGAUAGCUAAUACCGCAUAAGAGUAGAUGUUGCAUGACAUUUGCUUAAAAGGUGCAAUUGCAUCACUACCAGAUGGACCUGCGUUGUAUUAGCUAGUUGGUGAGGUAACGGCUCACCAAGGCAACGAUACAUAGCCGACCUGAGAGGGUGAUCGGCCACACUGGGACUGAGACACGGCCCAGACUCCUACGGGAGGCAGCAGUAGGGAAUCUUCGGCAAUGGACGGAAGUCUGACCGAGCAACGCCGCGUGAGUGAAGAAGGUUUUCGGAUCGUAAAGCUCUGUUGUAAGAGAAGAACGAGUGUGAGAGUGGAAAGUUCACACUGUGACGGUAUCUUACCAGAAAGGGACGGCUAACUACGUG
rnacentral:rRNA from 1 species